GUGCUCACCUUGGCAGCACAUAUACUAAAAUCAGAAUGACACAGAGAAGAUUAGCACGGCCCUGUGCAAGGAUGACAUGCAAAUUCGGGAAGCAUUCCAUAUUUUA
ensembl:snRNA U6 U6 spliceosomal RNA